AAGAAAAUGAAGCUGAAAACAGCCGGAAAUAAAAACUUCAUGAUGAAGUGAAAUCAGCCUAAAGUCAACAUUUAAUAAGAACCGAACCAGAACUUCAGGGAUGAACAAAGAUGGAGAACCUGCAGGAGGUUCCUCCGUAGAUUGCAGUUAAUCAACGUAUGCAGAUGAUUCUCGUUGUUUUUAGGACAAUUUUUCUGAUAUUUGCAUCAUUAAAAGAUCUGAUGCUCAGUUUAGAUGAAGGUUUAUUUUUAAAUAUGCCACUAAAAUAGUGUGAUGGAGGCAAAAUGUUAAUUAUCAGCAGGAGGUGGUUUCAGAGCUGCUAUUUCAGCUUUUUAACACACUUUGUCUUUGUUAGUCAGCUCUCAUUUCUGUUCACUUAAAGUUCUCUGAAGCAGAAGCAUUAAUGUCUGCAGAUGAUCACAUGAAGUUCAAACGUUUAUGUCUAAUUAACUUUGAUGCAGGAUCUUCUAUUAAUAUUGAAAACUCUGGUUAUUAUUGUGAAAUCAGACAAAUGUUUAUGUUGAAUCAUUUUCUACCAGAGGUGUCGUCACUAUCAGAAACAGAGUUGCACAAAACUUUAAUUAUUUUCUGUGGAGUUAUGGGAUGUGGACAAACAGCUUCAUUUAGUCAGUUUAACAAAGAGGAGCUUCUUUCUAAAUUUCCUCCAACAGGUCGUACAGGUUUCUGGUUUAAUGGGUCUAAAGGUUUGAUGAACUCAAUCUGACUAAAAUUAGCUAUGUGCUCAAAUUAUUAAUAAGUUAAAUUUCAUGUUUUCCUCAUUAAAAAAUCUCUGAAGACAAGGUUGAAAAUGAAACUUGUGGUGUUAAAAGCUACACGCAGAAACUAGAAGCUACGUGUCAAACAUUAGAAGAUAAAACUGGUCUCAUUGUUUGGCUUCAUCUUUCCAUUAAAGUCAGAAUUUCAAAUUACAAACAUUCUUCUUCUUUGUCCUGAAAAGUUAAAUCUUCUAAGAUCUGCUCAUUGCUGUAGCUGGUCUUCAGAUGGAGGUAAAACACUAUUAAUGACGUGAUGAAUGUAAAAAGCUCUGGUUUCUAUCAGUGUUUCAGCGUUUGCUUCCCUUGUUAAGGUGAAACCUUUGUGACACAAUAAGUGAGUUAAAUCUACAGCUGACUGAUCAGGUGGCAUUAAACAGAAAGAGCUCAGGUGUGGGCGGGCCUACAGCUUUCACAGUUAACCUGCAAUCCCCUUAAAUGUGCUGUGAAAACAUCUGGCUUUAUGCUCCUCAAAGACUUUAAUUCACUUUAAAUGUCAGGGACAGAAAAUCUGUGGAAACCGUUAAAGUGGAACUUUAAAUUAUAACAGGGAGUCCACAGGGCCGUGUACUUGGGCCACUCACUGUUUUCCACAGACACGCUCAUCAUUUCAUUUACUUUUUCAAUUAAGAGAUGAAGAAUCACAGCUAACUUGGUCAGUAUGUGUCUCAGAGAUUACAUUUCUUUCUGUAGAAUCACCAAUCCUGCUAUUUUUAUCCUUUAUAUCCAGAUUUCUGGACUCUUGACUGGCUGCUUUUAUCAGCUCAGUGGCGUAGCCUCGUCCUCACUUGUUCUCUGCAAAGCUACUUAGAGCUCUGACAUCUAAAGACUGAGAAAAUGUCCUAAAAUGUAGAAACAUUGUGAACUGGGUUAACGUUCCAUGAAGGAUUUGUUUAUUUCUGAAGGAACUCUCAUGGAUCAUUUCUGGUUUUUCUAGUGUGGAUCUUGAAAUAAUUGUGCUAAAGCUAAAUGUUUAUGGAUUCAGUCUCCAUUUGUGUUCAGACUCAUUCAAGCUGAAAAGGUCAGAGCAACAGCUGCUGUCUGAGAAAUAAUCAGCAACAGGUUGACAAUCCCGCUGAAAACAAUUCAAGACUUGAUGUGUGGAAAACAGUGGAGAGGUUUUAGAAAGUGGCUCAGACUGGAGGCAUGAAAGCAUUUUAGCAGAUAAAGAGCUCUGUUCCUGUUUACCACUAAGCUGACUUAAAUCACUGCAUCAUUUAAACGUGUGUUCACAGAUGUGAUUGGAGAAAACUUUAAGGUGUCUGGUGGGAAAAAUCAGCGCUCCGUUUUUAACCAGCUAAAAGCAAAACUAUUGAACAUGAAGCGUGUGUAAAACAGGCUGCUUACAGCUGACUGCUUAAAUCACUAAAACCUGCUCAAGGGCAAAUGUUUGAACAUGUCUUCAAUAGCAGCUGUUAAAUGUUAAAUCUCUGCUUACUGCUUAAAGUCAACCUGCUCAUGUCUUCAUCCUCCUUUUAGACUCACAAGUCAAAGUUGUGUUCAAAAAGGUUCAUUUGGUCCAAGUUUGGUGCGUUUGCUCCCAGUUCUGCACGUUUCAAGCUUUAAAAGACUUACGCAUACGUCUAACGUGUGCUGGUUGAAGCCCUUUGUGUUAAAGGGCCGACAAGAUGAUGCAGAAAAUCAACUAAACGUUUGAAAAGUGACUCUAUGCAAAGUUUGGGGGCUGAAAUUUACUGUAAAAAGUUUUUCUGAAGCUGAAAUCAAAGUGCACAGGGUUGUGAAAAUGAGCCUCUUUAGCUGAUUCUAACAGAAUAUGCCGUCCUGCUUUUCUGAUCAGUUUAAUGAACUUCCCUGUGAUACGACUGAUUGUGAAUAGAAAACAUGGUGGAGUUGCUCCUUUAAUGCAGAUUUAACCAGGCAGUUGUUGUGGAGUUUUCCAGAAAGCUGCUCUGCUUGACACUUUCUCUUUGGCUGCUUAACGCUGAAGGCCUGCUUUUCUUUGCCUUUAGCUUUUCUAAAGUCUUUCAACACAAACUAAAGUUGAAGCAGCAGAAAAAUCUUCAGUCAAACCAUGAAAAUGAAACUUUUUCAUGUUUUAUCUGCUCCUACAAAUGAUGUUGAAGACCUGAUUGUUUGUGUUGACUUUAAUGAGCUAAAGCCUUUACAACAAAAAGUCAACCUGAUACGUCUUAAACGUUUUCCUGUUUUAAACCAGAGUUAUUGGAUUAUUGAGCCAAAUUAACAAGAACCUGCAUCUUUUUAGAGAAGCCUUUCAUUUAAUUUAAGGAUUUUCUUUUUUUGUUGAAAAACUGAUUAAUUACAUUCUCACUUCUUAUUCUAACAUCGUCUCUGGAAUGUGGCUUUUACUGAAAAUGGUGUUUCUUUAAUCAGGUUAUGGUUACCAAUUUAAAAGAGUAAAUAAUUCCAAAUGGUUUAUUGAAAAUUAAAAAAUAUUUCUACAAGUUCUCUUUAAACGUUCUUUCUGAAUUUAUUGACCUAUUUGUAUAAAAAUUAUUUUCAUCAAACUGUAUUAACAGCUGGUGUUUUAAAACUGAUAUUUCUUUAAUCAGAGAAUCACUGUGGGUAACGAUGUGUAAAAUGUUUCAGGUAUUUAAACUUAAAACGUGCUUAAACUCAGCUGAACAGUAAACAUGUCUCUUUAUUUUCUGUGAAAGUCUCUUGGUUUCAAUAAAGGGUCAAAUAUCACCGAAUGUUUUAAAUACAAACUGUGUUAUCUUUGGUUUAAUUGGGUUUUUCUUCUGUGCGUAAGUCCAGUUUGAGAAAAAGGUUAUUUUUUGAUUUACAGAAAAACUGCAGAUCUGGUGGGAAAUAAAAUGCUUGGGAUUAAAGAGCCUGAUGGUUUCAGAGUUAUAAAUAAAUAAUAAAUAAAUAUAGUGUACAGAUUUUAAUCUUCUGGCAGAUUUAAAAAUGAAAGGAAUCUAACAAUCUUUUCCCAGGCUGAGUUUUAUUUAAACUUGUUCCACGGUGUUAAAGCUCUUCAUCACCUUAAAGGUUCUGGACGUGUUGCAGGAAAUCUGAUCAUUACGGGUCAAACUUAACCUGAUUAAUUAUAUGCAGCAGAUUAAUAAUCAAGUUCUGAGAGAAUGAAAAAUUAAUUUAAAAGAGAAAAAGUUAAUGAUGAAGAUUUGCUGAAGUAGCCAAAGAAAAGUUAUUUUUCAUGCUACAAAACAAACCCUGCAUAUAAAGCUCCUUAUUUUCAGAUUAAUGUGGCAGUUAAACUCUAAACCAACUAUUAGGGAAAAA